rnacentral:rRNA from 1 species
GACGAACGCUGGCGGCGUGCCUAAUACAUGCAAGUUGAACGCUUCCUUCUUAUCGAACUUCGGUUCACCAAGAAAGAAGAGUAGCGAACGGGUGAGUAACACGUGGGUAACCUGCCCAUCAGCGGGGGAUAACACUUGGAAACAGGCGCUAAUACCGCAUAAUACUUUUUCUCUCAUGAGUGAAAGUUGAAAGGCGCUUUUGCGUCACUGAUGGAUGGACCCGCGGUGCAUUAGCUAGUUGGUAGGGUAACGGCCUACCAAGGCAACGAUGCAUAGCCGACCUGGGAGGGUGAUCGGCCACACUGGGACUGAGACACGGCCCAGACUCCUACGGGAGGCAGCAGUAGGGAAUCUUCGGCAAUGGACGAAAGUCUGACCGAGCAACGCCGCGUGAGUGAAGAAGGUUUUCGGAUCGUAAAACUCUGUUGUUAGAGAAGAACAAGGAUGAGAAGAGAAUGUUCAUCCCUUGACGGUAUCUAACCAGAAAGCCACGGCUAACUACGUGCCAGCCGCCGCCGUAA